GCUCUUCAGAUCUUAAAUAAGCAAAAGCCCCUGGAGUGUCAACAAAUGUAACAAGACACAAUGAUCAGCACAUUUCAUCAUUCUCAAAGCCUUUCUGUAGCUGCACGGCGAAAAUUUAGUAGUUAUCAAUUCAUCUUUUUACAAAACUAACCUUGAGGUAUCAAAUUAAACAAUAUUCCUUUCAAAAACCUGAACGCUGCAUAGACUCUCCAAAAAUCUGAUAACUGUGAACAUGUUCAGAGGCUUAUGAGCAACAACUUCAGCCUAACUUGUUGCUAAUCUAAUUUCACUUUGAAUUAAUGAAAACAUCAAUUCAAUUUAACUUGUUAUUAACCACAGAACAGAUUACUUGGAAUGCUUAAUGAUAGUAAUUAGUAAUAUUGCUAUGAAUGAUAAUAGUUGAAGCAUGACCAUGAGGGGUUGGCAUUGCAAAGUUUUACAUGAUGUUUUUCGUUUGUGUUUCUACCUUUCUGAUGACCAAUGAAAAGAUAAAUUCUACCUUCAAUGCGCCCAAUGUAAGUCACCAUGGUUGGAUCAUCAUAGCCAACACGAUCUCCAUGAAGCUCUACUCACUUCAUGCAUAACAUAAGAUUAAUAUUCCUCGAGUUGCAUUGUUAGAAAAGCAACUUGCCACCUCAGCAUGGUCAAUAAUAUAAGUAAGGUGUCAAACUAUUUUUCUUAAAAAGACAGUACUUCUCCACUUUCUCAUAUUUCCAUGAAAUAAUGAUAUGCUGCAUGAGGAGGAAUGCAUCACGACACAUACAACACAAGACAUAACAGAGUCUCGAUCUGCUGUUAUUUUUGUAUUAGUCCAUGUGAAGUGUGUUUCUUUGAAGAAAUAUCUGAACAGUCAUAUUGUGGAUUGAAGCAUCAUAUGUAGUUCAUACUUGAUACUAAGAAAAUGAAAUUGCAGACAUUUUCUGCGAUCACAUAUGGAGUAAAAGUCGUACUUGUUUGUCAGUUUUAUUUUGUAUAGUCUAUUUUAUGUUUUGAUCUUUGCAUAUUGGUUUUCAACUUGCAGUUCGGGUACAUUGUGCUGACUACCUCAGCUGGUAUCAUGGACCAUGAAGAGGCUAGGAGAAAGAAUGUUGGUGGAAAAGUUCUUGGUUUCUUCUAUUGAGUCAUGUUGACAAGGAUGAAAACUUUGGUUUUGCUGUUUGUUGGCUCGUUGUAACCGACCUUUUUCUGUUUUUCUCGUUACCAUCAAAUUUAGUAGGGAUUUUAUUGAAAAUUUUGAGACAAUUAUCAGAUUUUGUUGAAAAACUUGCUGGUGCUUAUUGCCUGUUGAGACAAUUGACAUCUAAAGUUGUAGAUGUGCAUGUUUGUGUUUUUUUACUGUAUAAAAGGCAAGAGAAACCUCUCUUUUCUUCUAGUCUUGUUAGCUGCUAGAGUGCAAGCAUACAUGUUAAAUUUCUAGUAAAAUGAACCAAGAAGGUUUGAUAGUGAGUUUGUGUUUAUAAUCCCAUAUUAUGUUCAAGUAUACUAUUUGCGUAAACAAUGAAUCCGAGUAACUAUUUGCCUAAAGUUCACAUCAUAAAAUUUACAUAGUGAAGAAAAUUUUCUUAGAUGUAUUUAGUUAUUAGGUCUUAUAGCUCAGUUGUUUAAACUAGAAGGGAAAUUUUUUUAAAAGAAAAAUCAGUUUGUUUAUGGGCAAUUAAUUUUGCUAUCUUGAAAUUACUAUGUAACGUAGGCUACUUAUAUUAGCAAUAGCUCAUAUUGACACGACAAUUUAUAAUUUAUACUACUUUUUGUAUAUUUUUGAAUGUCUUAACUUUUAAUUUUAUAGUAUUACUUAUUUAGUUCUUAUUUUUUAAUUUUUGCUUUUUCCUACUUAUGGGUGUGAUCAAUAUGAUAGUGAUAGCAAUAAAGUAUAAUUGUUUGUUUUCAUAUGAGGGGAAAUUUUAUUGAAUUUAAUUUUUAUCUUGUCUCUUUCUUUUCCCUUCAGAGCUAUACUUUAAUGGUCUUACAUAAUGUGAUAAAUAUCUAAAAUUAGUUAUAUUUCAGUUAUCCACUAUCAUUUAUGUUUUGUAGUUAUUGCUCUCAAUUAAUUUUAUCUAGUUAUGUAGCUGACAUAUUAUUCAUACAUUACCAAUCUUCUAUGCAAAACUAGUAAAUUUUCUAAAUAAGAGAAUUUUUCUGUUUCUAUAAUUUUUUUAUAUUUGAUCAAUGAAACAGAAAAAACAAAGAUAGAUAUGAACACAGCACGAUUUUUUUUUAAAAAAAACUUUUAAAACCAUAUAUAGAAAAAUGUAAGCUGUAAGUUUAUAACUUAUAAGUAUUAUAUGCAGCUCAAAAUGAUUUUAUGUUUAUGACCUUUGCGUCUAAUUUUUAAUAACUUGCUCAAAUUCAAUCUAGUUAACCCGUUUAUUUGACUUCUAUCCAAAUUGAGAAGAACUAAAUUUUUCUGCAUAUGAAUAGAUAGAGCUCUAUUCCCCUUUCUCCUCUAUAUAUAUUUCUCCUCUUCAUUUCUUAGUGAAAUGUGUGAGACAACUUCUUCUUUCUUUUAAUCUAGUAUAAAGAUUCUAAAUUGACUCCAGAUAAUUACAUUCUUUAAAAGAUAGGGCCCUUCUUCAUCUUUUUCUCAAAAAUUUCGACUCCUCUAACUCUUUAGACAAGAAAAAUGACAUUCCAAAAAAUCAACACUAGCUUGAUAUUAAUCAUAUUUUUCGCAGUUCAGUACACUGCUUCAACACAAAACAAUACUAAUUUUCAUUUCGUUGUAAGUAUUGUCUGUUUUUUCUUUGCAAUAUUAAAGUUAUGGUUUGUGUUGUGUACUAAUCAAUUUUAUCUUGUAUUAUUGUAUGCAUGCACAGAUUGAAGAAGCUUCUUUCGAUAGGCUUUGCCAAUCGAAGAAGAUUCUUACUAUCAACGGACGAUUCCCAGGGCCUACCAUAUAUGCGCGUGCUGGCGAAACGUUGUCCCUAGACAUUGAAAACAAAGGGAAGGACAACGUUACAAUGUUUUGGUACAUUCAAAUUGUCUACUUUUCAUUGUUUGUUUGUUUGUUUAAGUUGUUACUUUUGGUGACUGUUUUUUUCUUUCUAAAAUGAAGUUGUAGGGGCACGGGUAGUAGACACGUGAAGUUUGAUCAGGUGGAAUGGCUAGUUGAGGCAGGGUCUAAAGUAAGAAAAAAUAUCACAAUAUCUGACGACGAGGAAGGGACGCUAUGGUGGCAUGCCCUGAACAUCUGGCAACGCGCUACUGUUCAUGGCGCUUUCAUUGUCCAUCCAAAACCCGGAACUAAUCAGGCUCUUCCCUUUUCGAUGCCUCGUGAUCAUGCCGAUAUUCCCAUCAUUUUAGGUAUAUAAGUUAAACAAUAUUCGAAUAAUUUAGUUUAAGUCAUUUCUUUCAAAAUCUUAAAGUCUUUUACUAACAUAUAUUUUCUUUUUAUUUGAUUAAUUCUUCACAGGUGAAUGGUGGAAGAAGGAUGUCAAGGAGAUCUUCCUUGAAUAUGUUGACUCAGGCGGUGACAUAAAUUCGGACGCUUUCACUGUUAAUGGACAGCCCGGAGACUUCUAUCCUUGUUCAAAUAAUGGUAUGUAUAAGUCGUCUAGUUCAGUUUAUUUAUAUCAAACUUAAUUAAUAUAAAAAAAAAAUUGUGAUUCUGCCCAUAUAGGCCAACAAGAUUUUACUUAAUAUUUUCUCGAGUUGUUUGUUGCACUCAUUGUAAUUUUCCUUUAUUAAUUAAAAUGGACAGGAACUUUCAGGAUAGAAGUGGAUAUUGGGAAGAAAUAUCUUCUCAGAGUUGUGAACGCUGCAAUGAGUAAAACACUUUACUUUGGGAUUGCAAGGCACAACUUAACCGUAAUUGCGAUGGAUGGUAGUCCUAUAACAGAGCCAUUUACAACGGACUACAUCGAAUUGACUAUACAACACUCGAUUGAUUGCAUCUUCGAGGCGAACCAGCAACCAGAUUAUUAUUAUAUGGUUGCUGUAACGAAUAUUAGCGAGGUGUAUGACACGAAUAAAAUUACAACCGCCAUCAUAGAAUACCAAGGGAGUUACAUACCCUCUUUACCACCUCUUCUACCUCUUCUUCCCAACUUCUCCCCCAACUACGAUAAAAGUUCUAGUAGGGAUUAUUUAUAUGUAAUAAUGACUUUUGUAAUUUUGGGUUUAUUUUUUUGUACGACAUGCGUUGUUUGGUAUAGGCAGACUAAUAGGGCUCAUAGAAGCGCAAUGGUCACUCCCAUGUAAAUUGUAGUACUUAUAAUAAAGUUUUAUAUUGAUGCUUAUAUUUGAAAAAUUACAAAUUGUACCCCAACAUGUCAACAUCGUCUAUGUAUUUUGUAUGUUGUGUAUAUGUAAACUUAGUCCAGCGAUACAUAAGAUAUGCAAUCAUAUACACAUUUCUCGAUUUACCUAAUGACCGAUAUUAACCCAUAGAUAAAUAAAUAGAGGUGGCACUAAUGGGUAAAUGAAUAACAACUGCGACGAAUAUAUAUGCUGAAAAAACUACCAAAUACGCCCAUCAAUUCAUUUGACCAUGAGCAACAAAACCCUGGAACAAAUUUUAUCGUAAUAUACUUUGUAAUUCACUUCUCGUGCAAAGAGGAAAAUCCAUAUAUAUAUUUUCUACUUCUCUGUCUUUAAACAAAUGAUUUUAGUAAUUAAUUUCAUUUUCUCGAUUACAGAACUAAAGACUACUACGGUAUUACGGCCGAUGAGUGUAAGUGUACAAUUAUCGGUCGUUUUCUUAAACCCCGGCCCGGCCCCAAAUAGAUCGAAUUAGAUCAAAAUUAAAAGAAGUAAUUGCAACAAAGGGAGCAGGGGUAUACGAUAACUUCAAUUUCUUCCUAGCUAGAUUUCACAAAUGACAGGAAAAGCUCGAACGAUGUUAAGCAAGAGGGUACCUGUACCUGUACCCGAAACCGACACAGGUGGGUAGGUAGAGAAUACCUACUCUCUCUAAGGAACUCGGCAAAAUAGCCCCGUAACUUCGGGAGAAGGGGUGCCUCCUCACAAAGGGGGUCACAGUGACUGUUUACCAAAAACAUAGGUCUCCGCAAAGUCGUAAGACCAUGUAUGGGGCUUACGCCUGCCCAGUGCCGGAAGGUCAAACCUUCUGUCGUGUAUCCUCGAUUAAUGCAACCUCAGAUGCUAUGUUUCAAUUCUCGAUUCUAGUAUUAAGCGAAAGGUUACGCCUAGAGGUUCUGUAUUACGGGUCAAUCCUACUCUACUAGCCUAAUAGGCAGCAUAGGGGAAGAAGCGCUACACCUAGGAAUCAACAACACGAAAACUUUGUUCUAAGUCAGCCCUUUCCUUAGCGGUUGGUUUAAGAGAGUCAUUGAAUGCAAAUGUGGCUCCAAAAAUGGACUCCGGAUUUCAAGCCCGGUGUGGGUUCUUCUCCCGGGACUGCCUUACCAUAUGCAUUCUUGGCACUUUGUUAAACAAAUAGUCAGGGUAUGGAUGCUGCUACUAACAGUAAAACUAGGACUUGCUUAAAUCUCACCCGGAAAGUGUCUGGGUUGGUUUAGAGGAUGACAAUUCACCAUUUUAUUCAAAAGUUGGAAUAUGAAACUAUUCCUAAAUUUUGCUAGGCCUCAAUCAGUUCAACUGUAGGAUUCUGGAAAAAAAUUAUAGCCAAGGAAAAGGAGGCUAAGAAGAACAAAGAAGCGAUGGAGGAAGCUGUUAAUCUACAGGAACAGAACAACACAGAGCUUAGUAAUGAUGAGAUUUACAGAAUGGCCAUGAUACCAACGACAAAGGCAAACAAGUCCUAGUCUUUACAUCUAAAGUUGUCGAGAACAAAAACGGAAAAAAUUACAAGGAAGAAAACAAAAAAGAUGCCAAAGAAAAAGAGUAAGGUUACCUUCAAACCUACUGACCAUUCCCUCUUGCUCAUAGAAGCUACUUCUUCAAUUCUACAUCUUGCUAGUAUCAAGUUUGAGCAUUGCUACAGAGAAGCCAAUCAACUUGCAGACUGGCUAACAAAGAUGGCGAUGAACUCUCAAACUAGAAACAUUUAUCUUUCGGCUCAACAACUUCCCCAGGCCGCAAAAUGACUUCUCUUUCUGGAUAAGAGACAAGUCCCGAGUAUAAGGUCUAAAGUUGAUAAGGAUUUUUUUUUUUGUUAGUUAGGCUUCUCUUUUUGAUGGAUAGUUUCUAUCCAUGUGUUGUAUUUAAACUUUUGCUAUGAUAUACAACACCUCCAGUGCUACUGGGAUUUUUUUUUAAAAAAAGCUUAACUUAGAAUACAGGUUGUGUCUACUCCUUUUUUUUUUUUUUUGGAAAAAAAGUAAUAAAUUUCAACAGUAAAAGAAAGGCAAUAACACACCCAUAUACAAGAAGUAAAUCAAAUGUAGACAACCUUACAAAAGAUACAUUUUUACGAAUAAAUCCGAUCUUCUAUACAUGUAAGAAGCAAGAAACUUGUGAGUGCACAAAAAAUAAAUAAGGGAUGAGGAAAAUUCUUCUCUACUUCAUCAAAAACUUUGUCAACAUAAGUGAUAAAGGGGCGACAAUCUUAUGUUUUGCAUCUUUUUUCCGUCUUCUAAAAGUCCAGGUAAACAUUGUUUCGUUCACACUAUUAACUGGAAUAAUUGCAUCUGCUAUCCAAAGUCUGUAAUGUUCUUGAGCUCUUAGCUGCCUAUUCAAUCAGAAACCAUUUUUUUCACAACAAACAAUAUAUACCUUUGGAGGUUGGAGCUGCUUGUGAAGACUUCCAUAAUAUAGAAGCACAAGAUACAAGACUGAUCAAAGAAGCAUAUAUUUUGUAAAGAUACAGAAAAUUAAAGAUGGAGAUAUUCAAGGAAACAAUAUAACAAGUGUAAAAGCAAUAACUACAAAAUCCAUGCCGCAACAUAUGUACAAUGUGUAAGCUAAAACAACAUGUUUUUGGUUGAUAAAUUAUUUUUAAACUGUCACAUGCCUGAUAAGUAGCAAGCAAAAAUAUGGAAGAAGUACAAAUGAACCAAACUUACCUAGUAACGUAAAAUUUUGAACAUUAACCACAUUUGAUGGCAAGAGCUCUGCCUGAACCACCUUCAUUAGUUACAACCGUUAUGAUUGGAACUUUAAGCCCUUAAAUUGUCAUGAAAAUAUUGGAGGUGAUUAUAGAUUCUACAUGACCAAACGCAAUCUAAUAACACAAUAUUUGAAAUUCAAGGUAAAGACUCACAGCUCUUCAGAUCUUAAAUAAGCAAAAUCCCCUGGAGUGUCAACAAAUGUAACGAGACACAAUGAUCAGCACAUUUCAUCAUUCUCAAAGCCUUUUUGUAGCUGUUUGGCGAAGAUUUAGUAGUUAUCAAUUCAUCUUUUUACAAAACUAACCUUGAGGUAUCAAAUUAAACAAUAUUCCUUUCAAAAAACUGAACGACUCGAGCAACAACUUCAGCCUAACUUGUUGCUUAAUUAAUGAAAGCAUCAAUUCAAUUUAACCUGUCAUUAACCACAGAACAGAUUACUUGGAAUGCUUAAUCAAUGUGUGAAUUGAGGAAAAUUGGAAUUGGGGUUGGGUCGGUUGUAUAUUAUGAA
rnacentral:lncRNA from 1 species